AUGAACGCUGGCGGCGUGCCUAAUACAUGCAAGUCGAGCGAACAGAUGAGGAGCUUGCUCCUCUGACGUUAGCGGCGGACGGGUGAAUAACACGUGGAUAACCUACCUAUAAGACUGGGAUAACUUCGGGAAACCGGAGCUAAUACCGGAUAAUAUAUUGAACCGCAUGGUUCAAUAGUGAAAGACGGUUUUGCUGUCACUUAUAGAUGGAUCCGCGCCGCAUUAGCUAGUUGGUAAGGUAACGGCUUACCAAGGCAACGAUGCGUAGCCGACCUGAGAGGGUGAUCGGCCACACUGGAACUGAGACACGGUCCAGACUCCUACGGGAGGCAGCAGUAGGGAAUCUUCCGCAAUGGGCGAAAGCCUGACGGAGCAACGCCGCGUGAGUGAUGAAGGUCUUCGGAUCGUAAAACUCUGUUAUUAGGGAAGAACAAAUGUGUAAGUAACUAUGCACGUCUUGACGGUACCUAAUCAGAAAGCCACGGCUAACUACGUG
rnacentral:rRNA from 1 species